GAUGAACGCUAGCUACAGGCUUAACACAUGCAAGUCGAGGGGCAGCAUGGUCUUAGCUUGCUAAGGCCGAUGGCGACCGGCGCACGGGUGAGUAACACGUAUCCAACCUGCCGUCUACUCUUGGACAGCCUCCUGAAAGGAAGAUUAAUACAAGAUGGCAUCAUGAGUCCACAUGUUCACAUGAUUAAAGGUAUUCCGGUAGACGAUGGGGAUGCGUUCCAUUAGAUAGUAGGCGGGGUAACGGCCCACCUAGUCUUCGAUGGAUAGGGGUUCUGAGAGGAAGGUCCCCCACAUUGGAACUGAGACACGGUCCAAACUCCUACGGGAGGCAGCAGUGAGGAAUAUUGGUCAAUGGGCGAGAGCCUGAACCAGCCAAGUAGCGUGAAGGAUGACUGCCCUAUGGGUUGUAAACUUCUUUUAUAAAGGAAUAAAGUCGGGUAUGGAUACCCGUUUGCAUGUACUUUAUGAAUAAGGAUCGGCUAACUCCGUGCCAGCAGCCGCGGUAAUACGGAGGAUCCGAGCGUUAUCCGGAUUUAUUGGGUUUAAAGGGAGCGUAGAUGGAUGUUUAAGUCAGUUGUGAAAGUUUGCGGCUCAACCGUAAAAUUGCAGUUGAUACUGGAUAUCUUGAGUGCAGUUGAGGCAGGCGGAAUUCGUGGUGUAGCGGUGAAAUGCUUAGAUAUCACGAAGAACUCCGAUUGCGAAGGCAGCCUGCUAAGCUGCAACUGACAUUGAGGCUCGAAAGUGUGGGUAUCAAACAGGAUUAGAUACCCUGGUAGUCCACACGGUAAACGAUGAAUACUCGCUGUUUGCGAUAUACAGCAAGCGGCCAAGCGAAAGCGUUAAGUAUUCCACCUGGGGAGUACGCCGGCAACGGUGAAACUCAAAGGAAUUGACGGGGGCCCGCACAAGCGGAGGAACAUGUGGUUUAAUUCGAUGAUACGCGAGGAACCUUACCCGGGCUUAAAUUGCAGAUGAAUUACGGUGAAAGCCGUAAGCCGCAAGGCAUCUGUGAAGGUGCUGCAUGGUUGUCGUCAGCUCGUGCCGUGAGGUGUCGGCUUAAGUGCCAUAACGAGCGCAACCCUUGUUGUCAGUUACUAACAGGUUCCGCUGAGGACUCUGACAAGACUGCCAUCGUAAGAUGUGAGGAAGGUGGGGAUGACGUCAAAUCAGCACGGCCCUUACGUCCGGGGCUACACACGUGUUACAAUGGGGGGUACAGAGGGCCGCUACCACGCGAGUGGAUGCCAAUCCCAAAAACCUCUCUCAGUUCGGACUGGAGUCUGCAACCCGACUCCACGAAGCUGGAUUCGCUAGUAAUCGCGCAUCAGCCACGGCGCGGUGAAUACGUUCCCGGGCCU
rnacentral:rRNA from 1 species